CGGAGAGGGCGCCUGAGAAACGGCUACCACUUCUAAGGAAGGCAGCAGGCGCGCAAAUUACCCAAUCCUGACUCAGGGAGGUAGUGACAAGAAAUAACAAUAAACCGGCUUAUGCCGGUUUAAUUGGAACGAGUACAAUUUAAACAUUUUAACGAGGAACAAUUGGAGGGCAAGUCUGGUGCCAGCAGCCGCGGUAAUUCCAGCUCCAAUAGCGUAUACUAAAGUUGUUGCAGUUAAAAAGCUCGUAGUUGGAUUUCUGCGGGGACGGAGCGGCCGGAUGCAACUUGCGUCUCGAGCUAGCGCUUUUCCCGCAUCCUGCCGCGAACCGUGCUACCAUUAGCUUGGUGGCGCUGGGGAUCGGCUCGAUUACUUUGAGAAAAAUAGAGUGUUCAAAGCAGGCCACAUGCCUUGAAUAAGUUAGCAUGGAAUAAUGACUAAGGACUUUGGUUCUUUUCGUUGGUGUUCGGGACUGAAGUAAUGAUUGAUAGGGACAGUUGGGGCGGUCUGUAUUCCAAAGCGAGAGGUGAAAUUCUUAGACCUUCGGAAGACGAACAGCUGCGAAAGCGUCCCGCAAGGAUGUUCCCUUUGAUCAAGAACGAAAGUUGGGGGAUCGAAGACGAUCAGAUACCGUCGUAGUCUCAACUAUAAACUAUACCAGCUAGGGAUCGGCCAACGUUUAAUUAUUCGACUUGGUCGGCACCUUAUGAGAAAUCAAAGCAUCUGGGUUCCGGGGGGAGUAUGGUCGCAAGGCUGAAACUUAAAGGAAUUGACGGAAGGGCACCACCAGGCGUGGAGCCUGUGGCUUAAUUUGACUCAACACGGGAAAACUUACCAGGUCCAGACAUAGGAAGGAUUGACAGAUUGAUAGCUCUUUCUUGAUUCUGUGGGUGGUGGUGCAUGGCCGUUUUUAGUCGGUGAAGUGAUUUGUCUGCUUAAUUGCGUUAACGGACGAGACCCCAGCCUGCUAAAUAGCGCGGCCGAGCUUUGCUCGGUACGAGCUUCUUAGAGGGACCAUGAUGCGCGAUAGCACAAGGAAGUUUGGGGCAACAACAGGUCUGUGAUGCCCUUAGAUGUUCUGGGCCGCACACGGGCUACACUGGCGCCUGCAACGAGCAUAUCAGCUGGCCCGAGAGGGUCUUGGCUAAUCUUUGGAACCGGCGCCGUGCUUGGGAUUGACCAUUGCAAUUGUUGGUCAUGCAACGAGGAAUGCCUUGUAAACGCGAGUCAUCAGCUCGCAUUGAAUACGUCCCUGCCCUUUGUACACACCGCCCGUCGCUCCUACCGAUGAAUGUUCCGAUGAAAUUUUCGGAGAGCGCCGGAGAACGGGGCUCUGCCCUGCAGAACUGGAGGCUCAAAGUCACUUAAAUCUGAACAUUUCGAGGAAGGAGAAGUCGUAACAAGGUAACC
rnacentral:rRNA from 1 species